GGAUGCAUUAGAGGAAGACUUAUGUUCAUCUUUGAUAAUUUUAAAGAUUAAUGGGUAACUGAGGAGCAACCAGAAGGGUUUCAGGAGCAGCAUGCAGAGAAGAGUUUGUUCUUGCAAAACAUGAAAGAGAAAUAAAGAUUAUCACCCCAAAUUGAAAAGUAAUUAUCAGUUUCUAGACAAAUUGCAAUUGUCACAAUUGCUUCACCUUCCAAAAGGAGGAAAAGAAGAAAGUGGCCAAUGUUCUUAUUCAACAGAGUUAGUAAAGCAUUAUAAAUGGUGGGUGCAGCAGGAACUGGAAUUGAUUCUGAAAACCUGUGUCAAAUACUGUUCAAUGCUUCCAUCCUAAAUUCUUGUUUUCAGUUAGUUUGUGACUUUACCAUUACCUGUGUUUGACAAAAUCUUUCCCUUGCAGUUAUCUAAGCUGGGAUAACACUUUAUUAAUAAUCCUGUGAAACUGAGUCAAAGUCAAAUAUUAGCAGCACCUCAGAUCCAAGUUUCAAAUGAAAAAUAAGAGUCAGGGCAAGCACUCUGACAAUUACCAAUUGCUAACUUAUGGUUAAAUUUCAGAUGCCACUGUUAGACUUUAUUAGCAAGUGCAGUAAUAUUUCCAGAGUUAUCAUACUACACUGCUGUCAGAACAUAUCGUGUAUUUCCUUUUUGCUGUAGGUGAAAUUAUUUGUGAAAUUUUUCAUUUGAAAAUAGCUUAGCCAUUUCCAAGGACACAUGAAGACAGCAAGAGACUGGUAAAAAUAACUGAGAGAAUAUGGUUUUUCACACAGGAAGAAGUACAUCUGUGGAAAUAUUUGCCAAAACAUCCUGCUGGUGAUAAGUUACCAUAAGUUCAAAUGGAGGUUGAGAUCUACCAGAGGUUUCUCAGCACACAGAAAUGACAUCUGGUUCAGAAAAGAAAGUGCUGAAGCCAAGAACUUUUUGGCAGCUGUCAGGGUUUAAAAAACAAGUCUACCCUAUGCCUCUAAGUACGCAAUGUCCUUAUGUCCCUUUGUGGUUUCUGUACCACAAGGGGCUGCCAGGAGCAGAACCAUCUGUUCACUGUCUUUUCUAUCUCCCAGAAUUCCAAGUCUGAACACUUUAAUCAUGAACAUCUCUACAAGACAUAAGGCAGAGUGCCACAUCCCCCUUUGCUGCCUCGUGCAUACAUAGAACAAUAACCUCGUCCUGUUUCAACUUUCUCUUAGUACAAACAGUAAAUAUUUGUGGUUUGAUGUAAAAGAUAUUGGUUCCCUUCUGCCCCUUUUUCAGAGACAACAAUAAUGCUCUUGUCUAGAUGAAACAGAAAUUUACUGUUUCCAUUUUAUGUAAGCUGUUAAGGAUCUUGAGAAUGAGCAGCGACAUUUCAGUCAUGAAAUGUUAAUAAUGUGGUGCAGUUAAUCAUAUUUUAAUUAAACCUGGCCACAAAGUGAUUAAGGUAUUGGUCUGCGCAUCCCGAGACGAAUAAUGCUGUGAAUGUUGCAGCCCUGUUGAAGACCUACGUGUGUUGGAGCAGUGUAUGGCAAGUCCAGAGAAAUAAAAAGAAAAUAAGUAUGUACCUUUAGCUUAGAUAACUUUUCCCUAAGGAAUUAAUUGAUGUGAGUUGAGGAGAAAUGCUAAUUUGUAAGCCUAAAGGUAGACAGAUUAAAGGAUUCCUGAAAACAAUGAAGGUCGAUAGUUAAAAACAUAGAGGGGAAGGUCAGGCUAGACUCUAAUAUCAUCAAUAAGUACAUUCAACUCUCUUUUUCUCUGGUGCAUUAAGCUGCAGUGCUACAAAUUUCAAGAAUUGCACCUUUUUAUGAUACAGUGGCUUCCUCACUCCAGAAAAUUCCAGUGGUGAGCUAGUAGUUUCAAAAAGAUAAUUAAUGAGUCUCCUUUAAGCUGUCACUGUGGUCUCUGUGACACUGUGCUUUCAGAGCUUUUUGUGUGUAUUUCAAUAAUAAAAAGUCAUAUGCUAUACCUUUCUUAUCUUCUUUUAUCUUUUGUACAGGAAAUUCUUACCAGCAUUGGGAACUUGCAGGAUGUAACGGGAGAAGAAAAGCAUCUUUCCAUCAGUCUUAUUCUAUAUCCUUGAAUGUUUAGUGCUGGAAGCAAUAUACUGGGAAAAAGGGAUAUUACACCUUAGCAAAAUAUUGGGUUGUUUACCUUUUAUGUCCAAGUAGUACCUCAUGGGAGAACCAAGGUACUUGUUCUGUCAUAGCAGAAAAUUCAGACUAUGAAAGGUUUGGAAGACAUGUGCCUGGCUACGGUUUUUCUCUGCACUUAGCAGUCAAGUUGUAGAGGUCCCUUAUGCGCACACUGUAUAUUGAAAUUGCCAUUAUCUAAUCAGAAACUAGAAUAUUCACUCUAGUGCUGACAUUAAAGCAAAUAAAUGGGAUUGUUUAAACUUUGUGAGAGCUUUGAGACUUCAUUCACUCACAUUUGAAGUUUUAGUUUCUAUCCCCAUUUUGCAUUCCCAUUUGAAGGCAACGUGUGCCACACACAGAUUUUCCAAAAAAAAAGAUGUGUCCCUAAGUUCAUACAACUGGAACAUUUCCUGCAUUCCUGGUUUGAAAUAUCACUUUUUUCAAACAAUUCAUCCCCUAGACAUUUUGGUUUUGCGCCCCGUCUUUUCUGGGCCCCCUCUGAUACGAUACCAAUGAGUAAAAGGAAUCACUUGUACUCACUUACAGGAAAGAAGUCUCUGGAUGGCAGCAAAGCAUAGCAAAAUUGCUGCCGAUUCAUGGGAAAAAAUCUCCUGAAUCCAAUUUAAUUUGACUUAGCAUAUUAAUAAAAGCUUGGUAUUCUUUUGGCUGCAGCUCUUUAUCUGUUUCUCAUUAACUGAAGUCUGAUACAAGUCUCCUCAUACUUAUUUGCAGUGUAUUGGAAGAAAAUGGAAGUUUUGACUUCAAUAGGACUGUAUCCUCAGUAUUUAAUUUAUAAGAUUGUUCGUUUGUUUAAUUUUAUUUACACCCUAAAAUACACUCAAAAAUGUAUAGAGAAGGUCAUUCUCCAUAGAGAAUGACUAAUAUUUAGCAUUUAACGUCUCCCUUUUUGAGAUCCUACAGCCAUUUCCCAAGUGUAACUUUAACUUCCAGCUUCUGGGCCUAAAGAUAACCUCUUGCUAGUGAGCAGCAGAGGAAUACAGAAUGCUGGGUCAACUGUCAUCUCUACCCUCUUGAAGGUUAUCCUGAAGAAGCAGUGCUUUAUGGAGUUCUGCUCAGUUGUACCUUGCACAGAACUCUGAAGCAGAGAUGAUCGCCUUUUUGCUCAUUUGUUUGCAUUGUGCAAAGAUCUACCAGGCUAAAUGAAUCAUUUCUACAGCAAGAAACAUAAAAUCACUUUUCCCUAGCGGAAUAACAGUGUUGCAUAACAAAGGAGUGAAAAUGCAACCUGACAUUUCACCAACAUAAACAGCUUCUAAUCAUAACAAACUAGGAAAAGUGCAGCUGAGCAGCUCGCAUGGAACACUUGCACUGAGUGAAACAAGAAGCUGUUUGAUGGCUUAGAGCCCCAUUUGAGAAAGCAGAGCUUUGUUCCUGUGCAGUUUGACCCCAGCACAGACCUGUAGUAGCUGCACAGUCAUUCAAAGUCCUGGAAAUGGAUCUGCUGUUUCUCCUCAUUGAUUCCCAUGCUCCUGGGUUCAUCUUGGUUCAUAAAACCAACUGCAUUUUGAUGGCUUGAAAAUACAGCACUAUCUCUUUGCUAUACAGAAUUUUACAAAAGGGCUCAAGAUCAUAAGAAACACCUUCAUCUGGGGAAAGCAAGUUAUCAUUUAAAACAUAAAGUAUGUUCAUAUGAAAUAACGAUAAGAGUAUUUAUGGUUAAAUUUUGUUUUAAGAAAGUUCCUUGCUUAGCUUUAGAUUAGAUAUUAGGAAGAUAUUCUUUACUGUGAGAUCUAUGAGACACUAGAACAGGUUGCCCAGAGAGGCUGCGAAUGCCUCCUCCUAGUAGUGUUCAAGACCAGGCUGUGUGGGGCUUUGAGCAACCUGCUUUAGUGGGAGGUGUCCCUGCCUGUAGCAGGGGAGAUGGAACUAGAUGAUCUUAGAAGUUCCUUCCAACCCAAACCAUUCUGUGAAGUCAGUGACUGUGGGAGCUCAACAUACGUGUUGAUUUUAGAGGCAUGGGGCAGAUAAUCUGUGUAGUUGUCUUUGCAUGUGCUGGAAUUGAUCAGUGGAUUUGUCAGCUGAGUUCAGAAUAUAGUAGGUAUUUUAACAGCAACUAUAUUCAGUGUAAGAAACUUCAAGAAUUUGAAGCAACCUCCACUCUUUUUUUUUUUUCUUCACUUCUUUUUUUAAGCAAAAUCUGGUUAACCUUAAUUUGCUAUUUCUUUCAGAUGUACUCUGCUUUCAUGGCAUUCUUUUCCUUGAGUUCUUCUGUUGACCUUGUGUGUUCCGCUCUUGAGUUUCAUAGCAUGACAGUGUGAAUUAAACUAUUACCUGGAUACCUGCUUCAUCACAAGAAAUACCAGCUUUUGCUCCCUUGGUCUGGAACUACACCCUAUUGCACACUGGAAGCAAAAGUUAAACAACAGCAGAAAUAAUGAAGUUUUUCUCCUUCAUUGUAAAUAAGUGGUUUCUAGAGAACACCUGUAAAGUGUUACUCUAAAUUUGUAAUUUUAAUUUCAAAAAUGGAAACUGUUUUAGGUUUGAUGUUAUGUUAUUGCCACUUGUUCUUUCUUUUCUUGUUUCUUUUCCGGGUACACCAGAAAUCAAAAGAGUUGAUAUUCCGGUGAAUGAUUUAAACAUGCCUAACUUCGGUUGUUAUGCCUCUGAGCGUCCUCUUGAGCUGCUUUGACAGUCCUCAGAUUUUGGAAGUGUCUGUGACAGGGAUAAACAUUAUUAGAAAUAAAUAAAGGUCACCUCAGCUUCUAAACUAUUCAUGUGUUCAAUCUGAUAAGGUUAUUUGGAUUCCUUACUUGUGUGCCGUUAUGGGGUUAUUCGUUUCUAUUGUAUGUAAGAAUAAUGUGAAGGUUGGUAAAAACCAUAACCAUUCCAGGGGCAGAAAUACAGAGCUGUGUGAGUGACAUGCUGCUUUUUUAAUAAUACAGAAGUGGUAAGGCUGAAGCUGAAG